UUUAAAGUUCCCCUAUUGCCAGCCUUAUGUCUUAAUUGAAUUAAUCUUCAGAAAAGCUGAAAGAGUUUUCAAAAGAAUAACUAGGCCGGGUGCGGUGGCUCACGCCUGUAAUCCCAGCACUUUAGGAGGCCGAGGCAGGUAGAUCAUGAGGUCAAGAGAUCGAGACCAUCCUGGCCAACAUGGUGAAAUCCCAUCUCUACUAAAAAUACAAAAAAUUAGCCGGGCGUGGUGGCGGGCGCCUGUAGUCCCAGCUACUCGGGAGGCUGAGGCAGGAGAAUCACUUGAACCCAGGAGGUGGAGGUUGCAAUGAGCCGAGAUUGCACCACUGCACUCCAGCCUGGUGACAGAACGAGACUCCAUCUAAAAAAAAAAAAAAAAAAAAAAGAAUAACUAUGGAGAACUUUUUUCCUAGUAACAAUGCGUCAGUUUGACCAUCCUCAUAUUGUGAAGCUGAUUGGAGUCAUCACAGAGAAUCCUGUCUGGAUAAUCAUGGAGCUGUGCACACUUGGAGAGCUGAGGUCAUUUUUGCAAGUAAGGAAAUACAGUUUGGAUCUAGCAUCUUUGAUCCUGUAUGCCUAUC
rnacentral:sRNA from 1 species